rnacentral:rRNA from 1 species
GUAGGGGGCGAGCGUUAUCCGGAUUUACUGGGUGUAAAGGGAGCGUAGACGGUUUUUCAAGUCUGAAGUGAAAGCCCGCGGCUCAACUGCGGAACGGCUUUGGAAACUGAGGGACUAGAGUGCUGGAGGGGCAGGCGGAAUUCCUGGUGUAGCGGUGAAAUGCGUAGAUAUCAGGAGGAACACCGGUGGCGAAGGCGGCCUGCUGGACAGUAACUGACGUUGAGGCUCGAAAGCGUGGGGAGCAAA